rnacentral:rRNA from 1 species
UACGUAGGGGGCUAGCGUUGUCCGGAAUCAUUGGGCGUAAAGCGCGUGUAGGCGGUCCGGUAAGUCCGCUGUGAAAGUCGGGGGCUCAACCCUCGGAUGCCGGUGGAUACUGUCGGGCUUGAGUACGGAAGAGGCGAGUGGAAUUCCUGGUGUAGCGGUGAAAUGCGCAGAUAUCAGGAGGAACCCCAAUUGCGAAGGCAGCUCGCUGGGACGUUACUGACGCUGAGACGCGAAAGCGUGGGGAGCAAACAGG